AUUUUAUUUCUUCUGCCUUUUAAUUACCAUCUGCUAACAUAAGAUUACAUUUCUUAAAGUGACUGGGUCUACCUGCCAGAUGAAUUUUUCGCCUGAUUUCCUCAAGCUCUGGCAGCUGCCUUCAUUAUUGGUGAAAGUGGCAUGGCAAAGCUAGCAUGAAAAAUGAGGCUAAGCACCUGUCACUUCAUUUUUCUGCAAAGAAAUAAAGAAAAUACAUGUAACUCAAUGCUCUGCACCAUCUAUACUCAGCAACAACUUGCUGCAAAAAGAAUAAAGCAUCAGUUUGUUCUUGCAUACAGUAAGAAUCAUGACAUGUAAUGGAGUUCCAGAAAGCUACACGUUUAAGAUAAUCAGAAAAGAUAAAACUCCAGACAAAAAGCUACAAGGAAAUAAAGACAAGGAUGCAUAAGAAUCCCCCCCUCCAUAAUUGCUGAAUUUCUUCUGUGAAUGUAACACCCUCUACGCAUGUGCUGUUUGGGUGUAAGAGCUUAACCAGAGAACUUCACCUAACAACUGACACAGUUGAGACUCAUUAAUUUUCUUUACAGUAAAAAGAGCCUCUCAAUAACAGUGAAUCAGCCAGGCACUAAGCCACUCUAAUCGCACCCUGGUUACACAAAUGUUUGGAUACCUUCAUGUUUUCUAGAAUUUGCCCUCAUGGAAGAUGGCCAACUUUUGGUGUAUCUGAAGCCAAUGCAUGCCAGGAAGGUGACCUUCUCAGCAGAUCCAGCUAUUCCAGGAUCCUUUGAAACCUGUCAGCUUUCAUGCACAGGAGAAUGCACCUGACAAGAACCCAAGGAAGGAAACUGUGGAGGAGAGCAAAGAAAAAGGCAUUAAAAAAAUGCAUUACAACAGCUUGUUUAUAUCAAUUUUUCUGCUUCAUAACAAAUUAAGAAUGGUUAUGUCAGCUGUUCUUUUCCAACAGCAGAUUAAUGAGUUCAGCAUGCCUUAAGCAGUGUCAUUGCAGUUAAGCUACAAGAGGGCUCAAUGAGAAGUUGCAUCCCAAGUUACCCAGGACCACAGAGUUGAGGGUGAGCACUUAGUACUGUGUUAUACUCUAGGCACUUCUCGUUGUACAGAUCUUCAGCAGCAGCUCUAAUUGCCAGGGAGGAACAGAAGUGGAUCUAUGAGCUAAUUCUUUUAGGUGAGUGAAAAAAAUAAGAUGAAAUACAGGUAGAUUCUGUGAUGGCUUGAGUUUUCAGAUGCAGAAGUUUGCUUGUAAAAAAUCACAAAGGGACUAUGAUGCAAGUAUGAGGAAAUGCUUGUAAAGAAUUUUCAGAGCACUUCUUCCCAUCAAAAAGACUCACUGCUCCUGUUUUAAUUGGUAUUACAGUACCUCAUUUUCCAGCAGCGGCAUUAAGACACCAGGCUUUAUAUUCUGGAGAUAUUUGGGCCAGUUUCACACUGUUACCGUACUCAUCCUUUAAUCCAAAUGAUCCACGGGAAUAUGAGUUACCAACCUUGUACAAAAAGUCUGAAGUUUUACCUGAAAUUCUUCCAAAAUAGUCAUUCUCUGAGAUUCAGUUUUUCUACAAAACUGAAGUAGUCCCAUUUUUCUUUGGACACGUGCAUGUUCAUUUCCAAAGAUGGAUUUUUCCCCUUUGCUUUGCCAAAAGAAAGAUUUAGUAGGGAAAAUCAUAGAAAGAUCUGCAAUUGAAGUCAUGCUGGAAUAAAGAAUUUAUGGGAAAAAUAUAUACAUUAUUCCACCCAUGUUUAUAGAAGGAUAAUUGAAUUUCUUUGCAUGAGAGACUUUGAAAAAAUGCAUUUUAGUAUCUAGGAGGAAGCACAAAAAGCUUUAUUGUUUUAAUUCUUUUUAAAGACAUUUCUAAUUUUUAUGAGACUAAGACUGAAAUAAUGCAUUAAUUAUUAGCAUAUUUUCAAAGAAAUCAUUAGCAGUAUAUUUUAGCUUUUAUAGCAGUGGAGAGUUCAAAUCAGGGUCAGAUAACAGUAACAUUAUGUGGGUUGUUACUAACUUCAUUUUUAUUGCAGUCUUUUAUAAUUAUCGUGUUAAAAUCCACGUUCAAACAUCCACAAAGGAGGAAAGGAUUAUGUUUCCAAGUGCCACAGCACAGUGAUCUCAUCCACACUGGGAACAUCACACAUUUGGAUAUGCCAUGUCAAGGCCUUGAUAUUGCAUGUCUUACACAAGACAGGAUUUGGUCAGUAUUUUGGGUGAAAAACUGGCAGAUAUAUAUGUCACAAAAUAGAGAACUGGUAGUUCAGUAGGUGGCACUCUUCCCUUGGAGUUGAUACCAUACCAAAGCACCAGCACAUUAUUAGCACCACAGACAUUAAAUGAUGAAGUAGGUAUUGAAGGGAGACCUUUAAUUGCACAAGGUCGAAGAUCCCAAAGAGUCUUUUGUUUUUGAUCAUCACAGCCCACAUUUCCUCCUGACACUUCCAUGCGGUAAAGAAUUGUGUAGUUUGUGCAGUCCGAUGCUGCAGGCAACAAAAGGGUUGAGUUCCCACGAAGAGUGACAUCUGCAGUUCAGGUUGCUCAAACCAGGACAGUACUAUCACACAUCUCCUAGAG
ensembl:lncRNA